UCAAAACAAGGGUUAGGAUAUUCCACAAGGUUCCCAACACUUGUAAACGUCGGGGAUAAUAGUUGUGCAAUGUUAUUGGGUGAACCACUUUGCGUUUUCAGAUGAAUGAUGGUUCAGUAAACAAUGCUACAUCC